rnacentral:rRNA from 1 species
CAGUCGCCGCGGUAAUACGUAGGGUGCAAGCGUUGUCCGGAAUUAUUGGGCGUAAAGAGCUCGUAGGCGGUUUGUCGCGUCUGCUGUUAAAACGCGAGGCUCAACCUCGCGCCUGCAGUGGGUACGGGCAGACUAGAGUGUGGUAGGGGAGAUUGGAAUUCCUGGUGUAGCGGUGGAAUGCGCAGAUAUCAGGAGGAACACCGAUGGCGAAGGCAGAUCUCUGGGCCAUUACUGACGCUGAGGAGCGAAAGCGUGGGGAGCGAACAGGAUUAGAUACCCCUGUAGUCCCUGUCUCUUAUAC